rnacentral:rRNA from 1 species
GAUGAACGCUGGCGGCGUGCCUAAUACAUGCAAGUCGAGCGAAUGGAUUAAGAGCUUGCUCUUAUGAAGUUAGCGGCGGACGGGUGAGUAACACGUGAGUAACCUGCCCAUAAGACUGGGAUAACUCCGGGAAACCGGGGCUAAUACCGGAUAACAUUUUGAACCGCAUGGUUCGAAAUUGAAAGGCGGCUUCGGCUGGCACUUAUGGAUGGACGCGCGUCGCAUUAGCUAGUUGGUGAGGUAACGGCUCACCAAGGCAACGAUGCGUAGCCGACCUGAGAGGGUGAUCGGCCACACUGGGACUGAGACACGGCCCAGACUCCUACGGGAGGCAGCAGUAGGGAAUCUUCCGCAAUGGACGAAAGUCUGACGGAGCAACGCCGCGUGAGUGAUGAAGGCUUUCGGGUCGUAAAACUCUGUUGUUAGGGAAGAACAAGUGCUAGUCGAAUAAGCUGGCACCUUGACGGUACCUAACCAGAAAGCCACGGCUAACUACGUGCCAGCCGCCGCCGUAA